CCACCUCCUUGACUUUUUUUAGCUGCCCUUCUUAUCCGUGGCAGUGAUAUAAAGUUCCUGUUAUCAAGAGGAGGAUUUCAUUCCAUCUGUUCAGCAGCUUGGCUCACGCUCAUCCUGCCUAACUUUAGACAUUUCAGGAGGGGCCUUUCUGAAGGGCUUAAUGGGACCGCGUGGCUCGGUGUCCUGAGGGCAUGGGGCCACGCUGGGCUGUGCCUGAGCAAGGGGAGUAACGUGUGCUGCCUGCGUGUAGGCCUUUCUUAAAUAAAAUAAUAAGGAAAUGGGGCAUCAGUUUACACAGUGAGGGUUGCUUUCUGGUUUAGAUUCCACCCCCUUUUUCAUUGUGCAGUAUUGUCUUUAUUACAUGAGGCCACCAAGGACUCCGCAUACAAAACCCUUUAGGAUUUUACCAGAUUGUACAGCUGUGUGUCCAUACUGACUUUGAGGAAUGCAGAUUUGAUUUCGCUGCAUUUCUGCAUGCUAAUGAAACAAAGCACUAAAAGUGUACUCCUGCACUCCACAUUUUUGUGAGAAUAAUGUGGGCACGCGGCUGCAGUCCGCUCACAGGAGUGGUGGGGAAGCACGCGCUGUGGGAGCAAUGCCUGACUGCUGCCAAGGAAGCGUGGAAUUUGUUGCCUGGCUGUGUAUAACAUUGACAGUCAAGGGUUUUCUUGCAGUGGCACUGGGUCUCGCAGAAGAUGAGAUAAACGGAACUGAGCUGACUUUAAGGGUUCACAUACGGCUCGCUACAAUGAUAAAGUAACUCAUGGAGGGACCCCGAGGCCCUUGGCCUCUCCUUCGCCGCGAGGCGGGAAAGGCAUGGCGCCCUGUUCCCGCCCAACGAAGGGGGCGGUGCCCGCGUGUCGCACAGCGCUGUCUGAUAGGUCAAUGCGCUGAUUGGCGGCAGGAACAGCCAGUGAGAGGCAGUGGCUCGUGGUGGAACGUCGCCUGCGGAGCUCUUGGACGGCGCCAUCUUGCCUGCCGCAGUCUAGGCGAUUAGCUCAGGGGCUGUGGCGGGGUGGCGGCCGGCUGGGAAGCAGCUGGGUCAGCCCGGCGAGAGGGUGGAGGUGGGAGUGGGUGCACCAGUGCCCGAGGGGCCUGCUAAGAGCUGCUGGGCCAACCUGUGAGCUGAGGCGAGCAGAGGCCUUCGAGCAGGCUGUUGUGCAGGCGAGUCUUAUCCCCAAACGGCACCAGCAGUGUCUGUGGGAGCCCCUCAGCAGGCAGCGCUCCAUGAGCCUUCCCUGGCAUUGCAGCACUAAGUGCUGGUGAAUGGAGAGCACCGUUGUGUGGGAGAAGAGCAGAGAUUUAGAAGAAGUGCAUUCUACCAGGACCAGACGCGUUCAGCAAGCGUGUUCAAGUAGAAGCUGCACUGCACCUUGUGAACUGCAGAGUGGCUUAUGGCAACUGGAGCUUCUAGAUUCAGAUGAGAGGUACCAGUCUGCUUUACAGCUGAGAACAACAAUCUGAACUUGUUCAGAAGGUAUCUCGUCAUGUAUCCAAAAGAAUCCAACCCUCGCAGAGUUCUCGUGCUGUUUCCCAGAGCCUCAGGAAGCAGGAGCCUUUCCUAUAAGCUGCUUCUGUGACUUGGAACUCACUAGAAGACAUGUUACUACAAAUUGACAAAGAUAGCCACUACACAAAGCACAUGGAACCAGUUUCCACAUUCUACUGCGGGGUAUAUCCAGAAAGACAAAGCUCAGUAACCAUCAAAUAGCAGACCUCAAGCUCACAGAAAAGGCACUUCAGACGAUGCUCCUGUGAGAUGCCUUUUAAAAAGGAAAUGAGGAGUGUUCUGCAUACAAGUGAAAAGUCUUCUUGGAUAAUUAAGACUGUCUAAAGUCUCUGAGAGUUUCAGUAUGCUGACUUUAAAGAUUCUAAGGAAACUCAGCACUUGAAACUGAAUGUGAGACUGCACUGUUACCCACUGCAUUCAUUAAUACCAGCCCCCAAAGAGAUUCCUGAGAAUGCCUGGAAAACCUGACCUUCCUCUCUUGACAGCACAUCAGUAAGUCAAGUGUGUUUCUUAAAUUGAUCUAUUUUCAGACUUUUUUUUUCUUGCUUAAUUACUACUUAGAAAAGAAUUCAAUGUAAGUUGUCCAAUAACUUGUACCUCUAACUUGCAUCAAAAUUAUCUUAGCUGAUCUGUAUCUCUCGCUCUUCAGAAAUGCACAGAAAGCUACAAAUUAAUCCUAAAGCUAACUCCUUGUAUUUGUAUGUUUCAGCAAGAUCUUAAGGUUAGAACAUUAGUAGUUGGAACAUAUCUAACUACUUUUCCUGUUGUGACUUGCACUCCAACUCCAGUAGUGUUGAGAAGAAAUCACUUAAGCAUCUGCUUAUGGUGAGCCUACAAGGCUAAAUAAAGCAGAAGCUAAUGUCUGUACAUCAAGUGCUGGUUUUGCCCACUAACGAACCUACACCUUCCUUGUCUCUCCUUAUCUGGCGUGUCUGCAAAACCUCUUAUUGUCAUGACAGUUGUAAGCUUGUUUCAUGAUUUAGAUCCCUCUUACCUCAACUUUAAAAGAAAACCACCACCACCACAAAAAAAAGCAAAACAAAGAACCCAAGAGAUGUGCACUGAGAGCGGUUUCAACCUCUCUCAGUGCACAUCUCCCUACAAAUACUGAAGUUUACAAUUCGAUAUAUUCCUAGUAUUUUCAGCUACAGACAGGGCCACAUCUGCAAACACAGUAUUUACUAUCUCAUUAAAAUAAACCCUUUAUGUGAACAAAGGAUCAGUGAGAACAAACAGCUGUCAAGAGUGGCAGAACACAUAUAGUCUAUGUGGAAGUAAACACAAGGCAGAAAAGCAGAUCAGGAGAGAAAUGAAUCCCGUUUGGACCCGGUUUGGAGAGAGGCACUUGCAGUGGAAUAUUUUGGGGCACAGUUUCUCAGUAACAGUGCAUGUUUCAAUCUGGAUUGGACUUAAAGGUAUUAACCCUAGCUGCUUUAAAGAGACCAGUGUUAACUCUAAGUGCUGCCUACUGGAUGUCAACAUUAGAACGAAUAGCCAUAAAUAAAAACAAUUAUAAGUUCAUGAGUAAAAUAAGCUAA